UACGUAGGCAGCAAGCGUUGUUCGGAAUUACUGGGCGUAAAGAGUGUGUAGGCGGUGCUCUAAGUCUGUUGUGAAAUCUCCCGGCUUAACCGGGAGGGUGCGGCGGAAACUGGAGUGCUUGAGGGUGGGAGAGGUAAGCGGAAUUCCUGGUGUAGCGGUGAAAUGCGUAGAUAUCAGGAGGAACACCUGUGGUGUAGACAGCUUACUGGACCACUUCUGACGCUGAGACACGAAAGCGUGGGGGAGCAAACAGG
rnacentral:rRNA from 1 species